GUAAACGAAAAAACCGCCUGGGGAGGCGGUUUCAUCAAAGGUUAAGUCAGUUGGGGAACUGCUUAACCAGGUAACUGGCUUGGUGGAGCGCAGAUACCAAAUACUGUCCUUCCAGUGUAGCCGCAGUCAGGCCACCACUUCAAGAACUCUUAAUAUCUAAAUCCACCUUUUCAGUUACCAGUGGCUGCUGCCAGUGGCGUUUUGUCGUGCCUUUCCGGGUUGGACUCAAGACGAUAGUUACCGGACAAGGCGCAGCAGUCGGACUGAACGGGGGGGUCGUGCAUACAGUCCAGCUUGGAGCGAACUGCCUACCCGGAACUGAGUGUCAGGCGUGGAAUGAGAAACCGCGGCCAUAACAGCGGAAUGACACCGGUAAACCGAAAGGCAGGAACAGGAGAGCGCACGAGGGAGCUACCAGGGGGAAACGCCUGGGAUCUUUAUAGUCCUGUCGGGUUUCGCCGCCACUGAUUUGAGCGUCAGAUUUCAUGAUGCUUGUCAGGGGGCGGAGCCUAUGGAAA
rnacentral:misc_RNA from 1 species